GAUGAACGCUGGCGGCGUGCCUAAUACAUGCAAGUCGAGCGAACAGACGAGGAGCUUGCUCCUCUGACGUUAGCGGCGGACGGGUGAGUAACACGUGGAUAACCUACCUAUAAGACUGGGAUAACUUCGGGAAACCGGAGCUAAUACCGGAUAAUAUAUUGAACCGCAUGGUUCAAUAGUGAAAGACGGUUUUGCUGUCACUUAUAGAUGGAUCCGCGCCGCAUUAGCUAGUUGGUAAGGUAACGGCUUACCAAGGCAACGAUGCGUAGCCGACCUGAGAGGGGGAUCGGCCGCACUGGAACUGAGACACGGUCCAGACUCCUACGGGAGGCAGCAGUAGGGAAUCUUCCGCAAUGGGCGAAAGCUUGACGGAGCAACGCCGCGUGAGUGAUGAAGGUCUUCGGAUCGUAAAACUCUGUUAUUAGGGAAGAACAAAUGUGUAAGUAACUAUGCACGUCUUGACGGUACCUAAUCAGAAAGCCACGGCUAACUACGUG
rnacentral:rRNA from 1 species